UACGUAGGGACCAAGCGUUGUUCGGAUUUACUGGGCGUAAAGGGCGCGUAGGCGGCGCGGUAAGUCACUUGUGAAAUCUCUGAGCUUAACUCAGAACGGCCAAGUGAUACUGCAGUGCUAGAGUGUGGAAGGGGCAAUCGGAAUUCUUGGUGUAGCGGUGAAAUGCGUAGAUAUCUGGAGGAAUACCGGUGGCGAAGGCGGCAUCCUGGACCGGCAUUGACGCUGAUGAGCGAAAGCUAGGGGAGCAAACGGG
rnacentral:rRNA from 1 species